GUAACAAUAAGCAAAUGGAUUAACAAGUUAAUGUAAAGACUUGGUUUCAUCUAUGCAUCAAAUGACCCAAAUAUGGUUAAAAUAGAGGCAAUCUAUCAAUGCCUCAAAGUAUCAUGAAUGAUCUAUUGAUCAACCAUAGAUAGGUUUGAAACAUUGAAGAUUUAAUCAACUCUAAACAACCAUGGUCAUGAUCUAAUAGACCUCAUCAACCAAACAAAUACAACAAUGAGUUCAUAAUAAAAGAAAAA
rnacentral:lncRNA from 1 species